ensembl:lncRNA
CCAUGAUCGUGUUUAGUCAGAUAAGUUGAAUGGAAGCAAACAGAAUAAUGAUAUUUAUUAUUUUUGUUUGCUGUCUUUCCUUUUUUUAAACCCAACAUCUGUCAUUUCAUAUCCAGCUGUUCGUAUUUUGAGCUGCAGGCCUGCAGCUGCUCCGCUAGCUCCGUGUUUGGUCUCACCUGCUCCUGACAGGGCAGACUGCAUGGACACAGGAGGUGUGGCAUCAGGAGGUGUGGCCUCAGGAGGUGUGGCCUCAGGAGGUGUGGUCUCAGGAGGUGUGGUCUCAGGAGGUGUGGUCUCAGAGGUUUGGCUUCAGGUGGUGUGGCCCCAUAGGGGGUGUGGUCUCAGAGGUGUGGCCUCGAGAGGUGUGGCCUCGGGAGGUGUGGCUUCAGGAGGUGUGGCCACGGGGCUGAAAACACCUGAAUUCAAAGAUAAUGAGCUGUGGCCCAAAACGUUUGUCUGUGUAGAGUUUAAGCUCACUGGGUCUGGAGUGUUUUUGUUCUUUGAUUCUGAUCAUUCUGUUAUUUUAUGGUUUUUCAUGGUUUAGUUUGUAUUUCUGCUCCUUUACUGUUCUUGUGCCUCCCUUGUGUUACGUCUAGUCGUCCUUGUCUCCAUGUUGGUGUAUUUCCUGUUCUACUUUGCCGUGUCCUGUGUUAGUCUUUACAGUGUUGCUCUCCCUCCCGUCUCGUCAUGUCCGAUUAGUUUCGGCUGCGUUCCCCUCCUGUUUCCUGUUUCUGUGUAUUUCCCUCUGGAUUACUUCUGCUUCGUAUCCAAAAUAACUUUAUUGCCUUUGCUUCUCUUAUUGCCCGAAAAAGAAUUUUGUUGUCGUGGAAAUCAUGUCAGCCAGCAUUAAAGUCUGGUUACACGACAUCCUAGGACUCCUAAAACUGGAGAAGAUAAAUUCUCCCUCAGAGGCUCAUCUGAUAGAUUUGUUACUCACUGGAAACCAUUACUUAAAUACUUACCGUAGCUUCCAGCACAAGAAAUCUCUUUGUAGUCCAUCAUACGCCCGUGCACAAACGCUCCAGCUGCUUCCAGCAGUGGCUGUUCCACCUUGUAAGAUUACUUCAUUUAGGAUACUCCAGCAUUAUCGAUUUACUUUGACUGAGGAGCAAAUGUCAUUAAUAUCGAUAUUAAUUAGAGUUAAUUAAUGUUGAUUAAUGUCAAUAUGAAUUCACAGGAAUGAGCCCUUUAUUGUUGGUCUUCAUUAUUUGUUUUGAUGUAUGGGUUAAUGUCACGGCUAGACGGUCCUCACCGGUAGCCUUGCCAAUUUUUGUUGUGUUAGUGUGUACUUUGUGGUGUUCUCCUCUCCAUCCUGUGCAUGUGUGUUUGUAUGCUGGAACAUGUACUUCUGGAAGCCGUGGCACGGAAUGGCAGCUGACCCGGGGGGAGGAUCCUGAGCUGGAAUCGUCGCACCUGUGCGUAAUCGCUUCGCCGGCUGCUACUAAUCCGAAGCAGACCUAUUUAACGGUGCAGUCGAGUCACAACCAACGCUGGAACGUCGAGCUAAACCGGGAUCCAGGGAUCGGAGGAGGAGCGGGCACAAGUCACUGCACUGUCACCACGGGGAGAAGCCACCGUGUCACUGCACUGCCCUUUUUGGAUUACAGACUCAAACUGUUGCCUUAUUUUUUCACUGUGAAUAAAUUCACUGUCACUCUGCAAGGAGUCUCGCACCUGAGUCCUUUAACCCAAUUCACCGUGACAGUUAAUCCAUCUUUCUGUAACAUAGUCACCUUCAAAUUAUUGGGGGGUAUUCAUGCCAUCUAUGUUAUUCAUGUUUACUGGAUGUUAUAAAGAAAGAAGAGACGAUCAUUUCUGUCUGUACCUUUGUGCUUAGUGUCUGCAUUUGAUAAUAAAACGAACACAACAGCAGUUUAAAUAUCAGUGCGUCGAAUUCAGACGUCACAACAUUUAAACCGAGUUUCAUUUGCAUCUAAGUGACAGACUCCUGUUUAAAAAGCGUCAGAAUUUCAUUUUUCUUGACUUUAUUCACUUUGUGAACGUUGAUAAACU